rnacentral:scRNA from 1 species
AUCUGUGGGAGGAAACUCAGCUGGAGUGACGGGUGGUGUGGACAGCUGCUGUACAGCAUGGGAGGGGUGUAAGCUGAAUGGAACAGAGGACGUGUGUGUGUGUGUGUGUGUGUGUGUGUGUGUGUGUGUGUGUCUACACCCAUGUCCCUCCCCGUGCCUACACCUUGAUUCUGCUUGAUCAGGUAGGUUCUGUGACCCCCACCUCCAGCCCACCAUCCUAAAAAGAAAAGCCAAGCUUCCGUGACUCCCUUUUUUGUGGCACUGCGCUGAGAGGCCCCAGGGGCAGCAUCAACGGGGAAAUAAAAGAAUGUGUAUUUAUUUUUAUUACAUUCUAUUCCA